AACGAACGCUGGCGGCAGGCUUAACACAUGCAAGUCGAGCGGAGAUGAGGUGCUUGCACCUUAUCUUAGCGGCGGACGGGUGAGUAAUGCUUAGGAAUCUGCCUAUUAGUGGGGGACAACAUUCCGAAAGGAAUGCUAAUACCGCAUACGUCCUACGGGAGAAAGCAGGGGAUCUUCGGACCUUGCGCUAAUAGAUGAGCCUAAGUCGGAUUAGCUAGUUGGUGGGGUAAAGGCCUACCAAGGCGACGAUCUGUAGCGGGUCUGAGAGGAUGAUCCGCCACACUGGGACUGAGACACGGCCCAGACUCCUACGGGAGGCAGCAGUGGGGAAUAUUGGACAAUGGGGGAAACCCUGAUCCAGCCAUGCCGCGUGUGUGAAGAAGGCCUUAUGGUUGUAAAGCACUUUAAGCGAGGAGGAGGCUACUGAGACUAAUACUCUUGGAUAGUGGACGUUACUCGCAGAAUAAGCACCGGCUAACUCUGUGCCAGCCGCCGCGGUAAGAC
rnacentral:rRNA from 1 species